ensembl:lncRNA
UACCACUGAAACAUGUUUAAAUAGGUUUUAUUCAAGUCAGGCUGUCGGUAUCCAUUUACUUUGCAUUGCACCCAAAGAUGAAGUAACAAAUGUUAAAGCCAAGCUUUUCAGGGUCCUGGUUUCUGUCAUGGCCAUAAACAUUCCCAAACUACUGCCUCUGCUGCUGCUGCUGAUGCUGCUGCUGAACUGGGGGAUAGACUGGGACUUGUGGAUGACCGGGGAUGACGGGCAAGUCUCUGAUGUAGUGAUUGUUAUGGUAGUGGUCUCUUCCCUGCUCAUAACUGGUGCUGAAGUGACUGACAGUGCCUGGAGGAUACUGGCCAGUCAGGAACUGGUAGUCAUAAUAAGGAUACCAAGGAAAACCAAAGCCUAGGCCACCAGGUGGAAAGUACAGGCCUGACACUGAAGGGGCAGAGCCAUCUGGCAGAGGGAAAGGGCCUGGUAGAGGGAAAGGUACUGGGCCACCUGGAAAACGGGGACUGCCUUGAUCUUCAGUUUCAGAGUCAGAGUUGCCAUGCUCGUAGGUCUUCUCCACAUGAGACAAUUCACCUCCCUGGUAGGCUGGAGGGCCUGGUAUAAACCCACUGCUGGGACCAAAGGAUUCAGCGUCUCCAAGGCCACUGGACGCACCAAGAGAUGAAGAGGUCUCAACAGGAAGAGGCUUGACAGGGUCAACUUCCCAGCUGUAGCCACCAGGGUAUUGUGCAGGUACAGGUGCAGCAGGAUAGUAGGAAGAACUGUAAGCAGCAGCUGCUGGAUAUGAGGCAGACUGGGAUCCAGAAACAGAUACAUAUCCUCCAGAAGGGUGUUGAUAGCCAUAACCAGGAUUUGCACUGUCACUGUAUAUGGCUGAGGGAACUUUGUUCUGGUCUCAUUUGGGCUCCACUACAGCCAUAAACAUUCCCAAACUACUGCAGCUGCUGCUGCUGAUGCUGCUGAACUGGGGGAUAGACUGGGACUUGUGGAUGACCGGGGAUGAUGGGCAAGUCUCUGAUGUAGUGAUUGUCAUGGUAGUGGUCUCUUCCCUGCUCAUAACUGGUGCUGAAGUGACUGACAGUGCCUGGAGGAUACUGGCCAGUCAGGAACUGGUAGUCAUAAUAAGGAUACCAAGGAAAACCAAAGCCUGGGCCACCAGGUGGAAGGUACAGGCCUGACACUGAGGGGGCAGAGCCAUCUGGCAGAGGGAAAGGGCCUGGUAGAGGGAAAGGUACUGGGCCACCUGGAAAACGGGGACUGCCUUGAUCUUCAGUUUCAGAGUCAGAGUUGCCAUGCUCGUAGGUCUUCUCCACAUGAGACAAUUCACCUCCCUGGUAGGUUGGAGGGCCUGGUAUAAACCCACUGCUGGGACCAAAGGAUUCAGCGUCUCCAAGACCACUGGACGCACCAAGAGAUGAAGAGGUCUCAACAGGAAGAGGCUUGACAGGGUCAACUUCCCAGCUGUAGGCUAAGAGCACAAGUUAGAGGUUAAGCAUUGUAUCAAGUCCAUAGAGAUUCAAUUGAAGGCAUUGAAGCACUGAUCCUGAAGGUACCAACUCAUCUACGUGGCUUUGGUUCCUUCAGAGAAGUCUUGAAAAUUUCUCUAGUGCAGGAUCAAUAGAGGUUUAAGCACAUCUUGAAUGGGGCAACACUUCUUCAGGAACAGAGCUUAGAUGUCUACUUAAAGAAUUUAUCCAGACAUGUCCUAGAGUCAAUAUUACAAUUGCUACAGUUCCUAUGGCAAGCUCACUGCUUUACUCAUUAACCAAUGCACAAAAAUAAAAUCCACAUUAGCACUCAUUACCUUGAGGUGCACCAGGUUGUAAACUUGGCUGCACUGACCCUGGAAGGUAGCCACCAGGGUAUUGUGCAGGUGCAGCAGGAUAGUAGGAAGAACUGUAAGCAGCAGCUGCUGGAUAUGAGGCAGGCUGGGAUCCAGAAAUAGAUACAUAUCCUCCAGAAGGGUGUUGAUAGCCAUAACCAGGAUUUGUACUGUCACCACCACCAGAGGAGCUUUGAUCCCCACCUGGAUAGUAAGAAGUCUUUAGCACAACUGAAACUGCUUGACUUUGAACAAACAUUUAAGUAUGGAUAGGUCUAACCUUUCUUUACAGGGUAGCUGUAACUGGUUCCAAUCAGCACAACAAGGAGCAAAGCCCUAUUGACAGAGGAAAAAAAAAAACAACAUAACUACAAGUAACAACAGAAACCAGCCAAAACAUCAAAUUGCCACUUACCCAGAGGGGAGCCCAACAGCCAUCAUGUUGAAUGAGCAGCUUCUACUACUGCCCCUCUCACCCCUUGGAAGGUUUAUGAAUGUUGCAGGUGAGCUGCACUGGCCAAUCAGAACAUAAUGAGUAGACGAUACACAGCUGCUGCUCCUUAAAUCCUGAUGAAGGUGGAUCACCAACCUGAAAAUUAAAUAUGUUGAAGCUGCCCA